ACUUAGUAUAUUUUCAUGGUACUAAUUAGCAUCUUUUCAUUUUCAGUUUGAAGAACUCCUUUCAGCAUUUCUUAUGAGGUAGUUUUAAUGGUGAUGAACUGCCUUAGUUUUUGUUUGCCUGAGAAAAUCUCGAUUUCUCCAUUUCUAAAGGACAGUUUAGCCAGCUUGUGUAUUCUUGGUUGGCAACUUUUUUUUUCAGCACUUUGUUUUUUUAACUGUUUAUUUAUUGAGAGAGAGAGCACAGGCAGGGGAGGGGCAGAGAGAGAGCGAGAGAGAGAAUCCCAAGCCCACUGCAUGCUCACCAUGGAGCCCGACACGGGGCUCAAUCUCACGAACCAUGGGGAUCAUGACCUGAGCCAAAAUCAAGAGUCCAGGGCUUAAGGGAAUGAGCCACCCAGGCGCUCCUAGUUUGGCAUAAUUCUUAAAUUUGUAUAUCUUCUCUUCACCUUAUAACAAACAGAGCAAGCUGGCUUUGGUAACCUUUCUUUUCUUUUCCUGAAGGUGGUGCUACAGCUGAAGCUUGUGUUUCCUCCCUUGCGUCAAACUCUGGCUUGUUUUCUGCACAUCCUCUCUUUGUCUAUUUCGCUGCCUCUUGCUUCCACCCUGGAAAGUGCACACAGAAUGCCAGUCACGGAGUGGGAGCAAGUGUGAGUUUGGUACUUAGGGCCAGCUCGGGGAAUCCCCAGGUGAGGUUUUCCUAGCUCUUGGCCAGACUUCCUGCUGGAGCCUCGAAGGCAAUUGGCAAGACCAGUGUCACUUUAAGAUCAGUGUCUCUGAUAUUCUCAUCUCCCUCUCUCCCAAUCUCCCUUCUCGGACUCACAGAAUUCGUACGCUUAUGCUCUGGGUUGUGUGGGAGAGAAGGCCUUCUCUAGCAGUGUCCUGCACAAAUUGGGUAAGCCAGGCGCUCACUUGGUCUCCCUUUUUUUCUCAUGGGAGGAAUACCAGCUUUCUUUUUUUUCUCUAAAGUGUGCCACCUUCUGGGAGGAAUAAUGCUUGCAAAGUUCCUCCCACCCACUCCAAGGCAUCCAAACUCUUCUGGGUUGUUUUUUGUUUUUUCGCGCUGGAACUUUUCCUCCAUAAACCUGAACUUUCCUGAAGGCCCUCUUGUCUGUAAAUAUCUGCCCGAGUCUGUGUUUUCCAGGCACCACGACCAAAAGGGAUUGGAUCUGGUUCACAGGAUCCUGCUGGUUCCACUGGGGUCUAUCUGCCUAUUAUCCAGUUCACAGGUUCCGAGGCAUAUAUCUAAAGCAUGGAUUCCAUUUCUCAACCGGCUGUGACCUUGAUCCAUGACCAAGCCCCUUGAGGAGAAUUUUUUCAUAUGAACAGUAAGUAUAAGGAGCAGUUUCACUGCCUAGUGACAAGGUUCA
rnacentral:lncRNA from 1 species